GGGGGUAGUAGCUCAGUGGCAGAACAUCUGCUUUGUAUGCAGGAGGUUCCAGGUUCGAUUCCUGCCAUCUCCA